ACACAUGACAAGUACGGAAACGGUAACGAGGCCCGUUCGGGCGCUGACGAGGUGGACGGAACGGGUGAAGUAACGCAGUACGGAACGUCGCCCAGUCGGUGGGGGAUAACGCNGACGAAAGCUGUGCUAAUACCGCAUACGAUCUGCGGAUGAAAGGCGGGGGACCUUCGGGCCUCGCGCGAUUGGAGCGGCCGAUGUCAGAUUAGGUAGUUGGUGGGGUAAAGGCCCACCAAGCCAACGAUCUGUAGCUGGUCUGAGAGGACGACCAGCCACACUGGGACUGAGACACGGCCCAGACUCCUACGGGAGGCAGCAGUGGGAAUUUUGGACAAUGGGCGAAAGCCUGAUCCAGCAAUGCCGCGUGCAGGAAGAAGGCCUUCGGGUUGUAAACUGCUUUUGUACGGAACGAAAAAGUCCGGGUUAAUACCCUGGGCCCAUGACGGUACCGUAAGAAUAAGCACCGGCUAACUACGUG
rnacentral:rRNA from 1 species